rnacentral:tRNA from 2 species
GCCUAGAUAGCUCAGCUGGGAGAGCGUUAGACUGAAGAUCUAAAGGUCCCCGGUUCGAUCCCGGGUCUGGGCA